GCACGAUCUUAUCCGGCGCGCCACCGCCUCCCGCUGGCCGGGCACCACGCUCAACCUGCUCAAGUUUCCCAUGAUGCGUCCGCAAGAGUUCCACAUUCACAAACGUCUGCACCGGUUGCGGAAGGAGAAAAACUGGAGAAGAGAGGAACAGAGGCUGAGAGAAUCGCGCCUGCAGGAGACUGGGGACCCAAAAUACGCCAUGCUGACAGGUCACAUCGGACGCACCUUCCGUGGCCAGCGAGCGCGCGACGGGGAGGCCGCAGUGCUGCCGGCCGAGGCGCCGCCGCCCACUGAGCGGCUGGGGGGCAUCGCGGCCGACGACCCGCGCUUCCCCACCGGCC